CUCCUGCACUAUGUCCUAGGGAUUCUGGAGCCAACAAGAUCGAACUUCGGGCACAGAUGGCAGGGCUGUGGGGUCGAGCUUGGCUGCAAGCUCCGAACACUGAUGCAAUCUCUCUGAGGGUGAUCUGGCAAUUCAGAAGUCAUAAAAAUGAUAGUGCCCUAUGACCACUUCUACCACUCUGGGGAAUUGAGUUCAAGGAAAGCUUAAGAAGACAAAAAGCAAGUUAUGCAAAUAUGUUAUCUGCUGUGGUGUGGUAAAGUUUAAUCCCCCAGCUGUGGUGCACACCUGGCAAAGAAUGGAGGCGCUGACACUUAUUGAUCAUUACUUGCAGUGUACACGUAUUAACUCCUGAUCCCUGCAAAUAGCCUGCUAUUACCCCCGCUUGACAAUGGAGAAGUUAUCUUACCCAGAUGUCAUUUCCUCUUCCUGGGAGCUGCCAUGGUCCUUCCCCUCUCCUGCAGCACUUAGUCCAAUACUGAAUCUUCAUGAUGUGACUCUUCAUAAUGCGCAUGGUUGACGCAGGAAGGAGCCCUCUCACCAUCAUGUCUCCUCACCUCCUCUGGCCGCUAAUAUUGCUGAAGUGGCUAAAU
rnacentral:lncRNA from 1 species